CCACGGGAGGUCUUGGAAAUAGGACACGUCCUGCGUCCGGACCUGAGGGGCGCUCGGGCUGAAGCGGCGGGAGGAGAGGAGCCUCGCCCGAGCCCAGGCCCCGCCCCUCACCUGGGCAGUCCAGCGGGAGGUCGCAGACGGUGGAGUAGCACCCGCGGCAGCGGAAACGCCGGGCGACCUCCUGGAGUCCUGCAGAACGGAAACGCUUCAACUGGGCUCCAUCCGCGUCCCCCAGCCCGGGUCCCUCUGGCCAGGGUUCUUAUUGGUCUCCUGUUCUAAAUGCGAGGUUUGGCUCCCGACCACCUCCCUUCCCCCUCAAUUCGAAGUUCGGGAUGAAGAGCUUACCGCAGGGAGGAAUGCAGGCCUGGACUGUGGAGAGAGAGGAAGCGUUACUAUCCUGGAAGGCCUGGAGGUGCUCACCUGAAGCUCCCCCAGAGGACAGGUCAUGAUCUCAGGGUUGUGAGAUCAAACCCUGCGCUGGGCUCUGCACUCAACACGGAUUCUGCUUGGGAUUCUCUCUCUCCCUUGGCCCCUUCCGGUGCUCUCUGUCUGAACUGUGUCCCUCCCAAACUCAUAAUGUUGAAGCCCUAACCCCCAGGACCUCAGAAUGUGACUGUACUUGGAUAUACAGCCUUAAAGAGGUAAUUAAGUUAUAAUUAGGCCAUUAGGGUGGGCCCUGAUCCAGUGUGACUGAUUGCCCUAUAAGAGGAGAUCUGGACACUGACACACCGAGGGGAGAACAUGUGAAGACACAGGAGAGAGAGAAGAUGGACAUCUAUAAGCCAGAGAGAAAGGCCUGAGAAGGAACCAACCCUGCUUCAUCUUGGACUUCUAGCCUUCAGAAUUGUGAACAAAUAUAUUUCUAUCUUUUAAGCAAUCCAGUGUAUGGCACUUUGUUAAAGGGGCUCUAGGAAACUGAUACACAGGGAUUGCUAGUUGCUUCCAAAUAUUUCUGUAGUAACAUCACACUGCAUUUCCACUGGGAAAGCACCCCCCAGCCCCACCAACCACCCAACUAAAAGACUAUAUUCCUCAGUACCCUUGCAGCUUCAUGUGGUCCUAUGACCCACUUGUGGUCAUAUAACCAAGUUUUGGUCUGAUUUGUAAGUGUAAGUGUUGUAUGCGAGUCACAAGAAGGAGCCUUAAGAGCGAAGGGGCACCAUCUUAUUGACUUUUCCCCUUCCUCCAUCUGCUGCCUGAAACUUGGAUUUGACGGCUGGAGCUCUAGCAGUGAUGCAGAACCAUGAGGAUAAGGACCACAUCCUAGGAUAGUAAAGCAGGAAGCUGGAAGGGGUUUGGGUCCCCCAGAAAAGGAAGUGGUGCUGCCAUCUGAAACUUAAGCGCCUGCCUCAAGACUUCUAGCUUGUUUAUGCCACUGCCUGUGCCUCUGUGAUUUCAAACCAUACAGAAAGGGAAGGAACUAAUACUGGUGACAGAGUGGCUGAUGGGAUGAUCCUUGGGUAUAAACUUGAGAGAGGGGGCACUGAAGCCAGGAAGUGGGUUCAGAAUGAGGAGAGACUUAGAGGUCUCUCCUUGGCCACAGGGUGGGCAUGUGGUCUGGAGAUGGCAGGAUGGUCAGGAGGAUGGGAUCAGAGUGGGGUGCUCAAAUGAGAGUCCAGGAUGCUGGAGAGUCAUUCAAGAAAUAUCUCUGUGCCAAACCAAGUAA